AUGCCGCGUGCAGGAUGAAGGCCUUCGGGUUGUAAACUGCUUUUGUACGGAACGAAAAAGCUCCUUCUAAUACAGGGGGCCCAUGACGGUACCGUAAGAAUAAGCACCGGCUAACUACGUGCCAGCAGCCGCGGUAAUACGUAGGGUGCGAGCGUUAAUCGGAAUUACUGGGCGUAAAGCGUGCGCAGGCGGUUAUGUAAGACAGAUGUGAAAUCCCCGGGCUCAACCUGGGAACUGCAUUUGUGACUGCAUGGCUAGAGUACGGUAGAGGGGGAUGGAAUUCCGCGUGUAGCAGUGAAAUGCGUAGAUAUGCGGAGGAACACCGAUGGCGAAGGCAAUCCCCUGGACCUGUACUGACGCUCAUGCACGAAAGCGUGGGGAGCAAACAGGAUUAGAUACCCUGGUAGUCCACGCCCUAAACGAUGUCAACUGGUUGUUGGGAAUUAGUUUUCUCAGUAACGAAGCUAACGCGUGAAGUUGACCGCCUGGGGAGUACGGCCGCAAGGUUGAAACUCAA
rnacentral:rRNA from 1 species